rnacentral:rRNA from 1 species
UACGGGGGGAGCAAGCGUUGUUCGGAUUUACUGGGCGUAAAGGGCGCGUAGGCGGCCACCGCAAGUCAGUUGUGAAAUCUCUGGGCUUAACCCAGAAAGGUCAACUGAUACUGCGGGGCUAGAGUGCAGAAGGGGCAACUGGAAUUCUCGGUGUAGCGGUGAAAUGCGUAGAUAUCGAGAGGAACACCUGCGGCGAAGGCGGGUUGCUGGGCUGACACUGACGCUGAAGCGCGAAGGCCAGGGGAGCAAACGGG